UACGUAGGCAGCAAGCGUUGUUCGGAAUUACUGGGCGUAAAGAGUGUGUAGGCGGUGCUCUAAGUUCGGUGUGAAAUCUCCCGCUAACUGGGAGGGUGCGCCGGAAACUGGAGUGCUUGAGCGCGGGAGAGGAAAGCGGAAUUCCUGGUGUAGCGGUGAAAUGCGUAGAUAUCAGGAGGAACACCUGUGGUGUAGACGGCUUUCUGGACCGUAGCUGACGGCUGAGACACGAAAGCGUGGGUAGCAAACAGG
rnacentral:rRNA from 1 species